UUUAAAUUAAGAAUACAUGUAAACAGUGCCUGACAUUUAGCUAUCACUAGAUACAGUUUGGCUAUUAUUAUUAUUUGUUUUUCUUGUGCCAGAACUUACAUAUAUUAUUUCAUUUAAUUUUCAUAACAACCCUGCCGAGGAGCUUAGUAUUAGCUCCAUUUAUAUAGCUGAGAAACCUUUGCUUCUAGAAGCUAAAUAACUUGCCUGAGAUCACAAAUAUGGUGACUGGUAGAAGCAUAAUUCACAUCCAGAAUAUGCUUGACUGCCAAGCUAGUGUUCAAAAACCUUAUAUAGCCUUUCCCAGGCUUAACAGAGCUCUCUAGAUUUUCCAGGUAGCCCUGUCCAAUAACUAGUUUAGAUUGUUUAAUUUUCCAGAGAAGAUGUUUUGGUUUCAUAUACCAGUGACUUGGUCCCCUAAAGAUCAGUUAAAAAAAUUCUAAUACAAAUGUCAUCUAUUGUAUUAGAAUUCUAUUUUUGUUGUUGUGUUGUUUGAGAUGGAGUUUCGCUCUUGUUGCCCAGGUUGGAGUGCAAUGGCACGAUCUCAGCUCACCACAAUCUCCACCUCCCAGGUUCAAGAGAUUUUCCUGCCUCGGCCUCCUGAGUUGCUGGGAUUACAGAUCUGUAGAACAGAAGUCUGGCAUGGGAUGGCAUGGAUUCUUUGCUCAAGAUCUCACAAAGCCAAAAUCAAGAUGUUGGUAGGGCUGCAUUCCUUUUCCACGGCAAUUGGGAAGAAUUUGUAUCCAAGCUCUAUCCAAGAUUGACUGGGCAGUUCUUCUACUGGUCUUGCUCAGACUCCCU
rnacentral:lncRNA from 13 species